GCCUGACCUUCAGAUUUCUGCCCUGCAACCUGACCCCAUUUUGGAAAAGUUGGCCUGGUUUUGUUUUUUGCUCAUAUUUUGAUCACAAGUAAAUGUGGACUGUUCCCUAUCCUGCUUGUCUAGUAGCACACCAGGGUUCAAACCUUUUGACUGAACCAUGACUGCUGAACAACUUGGUGAUCACCAAUCAUGUUUGCAAGGAGUUGAGUGUGAUGACAUGUCCUUUCAGACUGGUGGGAGCUUACUACAGAACUUGCAUACCCACAACUCAAACACAUCAGCACCACACAGAGGCACGGGUGUAUUUUAAGAGUCGACUCCAUUCAAGUUGUUGAUUGUUCAAUUUUGUGACUUUUCUUUGUUUGGCUACACCAAAUAAAAGUUGUAUGACUCUUUAAAAAUUGCCAUAUAAAA